UACGUAGGGCGCAAGCGUUGUCCGGAAUUAUUGGGAGUAAAGAGCUCGUAGGCGGUCUGUCGCGUCUGCCGUGAAAACCCGAGGCUUAACCUCGGGCUGGCGGUGGAUACGGGCAGACUAGAGGUAGGUAGGGGAGAAUGGAAUUCCCGGUGUAGCGGUGAAAUGCGCAGAUAUCAGGAGGAACACCGGUGGCGAAGGCGGAUCUCUGGGCCGUAACUGACUCUGAGGAGCGAAAGCAUUGGUAGCGAACAGG
rnacentral:rRNA from 1 species